UACAGGGGGUGCAAACGUUGCUCGGAAUCAUUGGGCGUAAAGCGCACGUAGGCGGUUCGCUAUGUCGGAUGUGAAAGCCCUUGGCUUAACCGAGGAAGUGCAUCCGAAACUGGCGAGCUAGAGUACGAAAGAGGAUCGCGGAAUUCCCGGUGUAGAGGUGAAAUUCGUAGAUAUCGGGAGGAACACCGGUGGCGAAGGCGGCGAUCUGGGUCGAUACUGACGCUGAGGUGCGAAAGCGUGGGGAGCGAACAGG
rnacentral:rRNA from 1 species